GAUGAACGCUGACAGAAUGCUUAACACAUGCAAGUCAACUUGAAUUUGGGUUUUUUUCCUUCGAUUUGGGUGGCGGACGGGUGAGUAACGCGUAAAGAACUUGCCUCACAGCUAGGGACAACAUUUGGAAACGAAUGCUAAUACCUGAUAUUAUGAUUAUAAGGCAUCUUAGUAUUAUGAAAGCUAUAUGCGCUGUGAGAGAGCUUUGCGUCCCAUUAGCUAGUUGGAGAGGUAACGGCUCACCAAGGCGAUGAUGGGUAGCCGGCCUGGGAGGGUGAACGGCCACAAGGGGACUGAGACACGGCCCUUACUCCAACGGGAGGCAGCAGUGGGGAAUAUUGGACAAUGGACCAAGAGUCUGAUCCAGCAAUUCUGUGUGCACGAUGACGUUUUUCGGAAUGUAAAGUGCUUUCAGUUGGGAAGAAAAAAAUGACGGUACCAACAGAAGAAGUGACGGCUAAAUACGUG
rnacentral:rRNA from 1 species